CUAUAAUUAAUUAUAACAUUAAAAUUAGAUUUGUGAACUGUGUAUAAAUAUGAUAAUUGAUAGUUGUAAUAAUAAUUGUAUUGUUAGCAACUACGUAAUUUUUUAUUGCAUAAUUAAAUACUGACAAAUUUCUAAUUGCAUAAUUGCUUGUUGUGUAAUUAAUAAUUGCGUGACUAAUAAUUAUCAGGAACAACUAUCUGGAGAUAUUUGCUGUCGGCGAAACAGUUGUCGAGAUGCUGUAAUGCCCCUGGUUGAGACUGGCAACAAUUUUUUAAAGUUUCUACAGAUUUUCAAUAGAAAUUAGAGUCAGCUCUGAAAGUUACAACAUUCCUAUACGAACACGUCCACGUAAACAAUGAGAUCGAAAAUAGAAAAGUCAGUUAUAGGUGUAUAUGUAUGUUUCUGGACUUUUUGCUCUUUCAUCAGCGACUACAUCCAACUCAUUAACGCUCCACGUGCACAUUGCGUAUACAGCCGGUUGAUUUAGAGGUGUAAAUACAAUUAGACAGAAUAAUUUUACAUAUCUUUAUAUAUAAAAGUCAAGUUGUGUGUAGGUCUCCUACGAUUUAGAUUCCUAACUACUCCCACAUUUUGCGGUGCAGUUUAACCAGGGUAUCUUAUAGUCGUGAUUCAUAUCGAGCCCUUCUGGGUAUUAGCGCGCGUCUACGAUGAGUCUACGAUUAAAAAAAAAAUUACCAUCUUUUUUUCCAUUUGAAUGCAUUUUUUCGCUAUUAUAUAAGGGAAGUAACUCUCUAAAAAUGUCUACGAUGAGUCACGAUUUAAAAAAAAAUUUACCAUAAUUUUUUUUACAUUUUUAAUGCAUUUUUUGCUAUUUUUUGGCUAUAACUCUCUAAAAAUGCUUAUAUAGUUAUUUCCCUUACAAACCCGAGCAACGCCGGGCGAUACUGCUAGUUAAUCAUAAUAUACUAACUAGCAUAUCAUGGUUGCAUAACAAAAUACAGUGUGCCUAGCAGCAAUUGACUGUCAACAGUGUGUGAUAGAGAAACUCAAGAUCUUGAAUCUACCAGGCUGCAUUUCGUAAAGAAGAGAAAAAGCUCUUCUUGUGUCUGCGUAACAGAAACUCCUCCUCUUUCGGUCUUGGUUAUUAAUCCACACAGUAAUCAAUUACAGUGGAGGCGCAAUGGCCCAGUGGUUAGGGCAGCGGACUCGCGGUCAUAAGAUCGCGGUUUCGAUUCCCAGACCGGGCAUUGUGAGUGUUUAUUGAGCGAAAACACCUAAAGCUCCACGAGGCUCCGGCAGGGGAUGGUGGUGAUCCCUGUUGUACUCUUUCACCGUGGAGGCGCAAUGGCCCAGUGGUUAGGGCAGCGGACUCGCGGUCAUAAGAUCGCGGUUUCGAUUCCCAGACCGGGCGUUGUGAGUGUUUAUUGAGCGAAAACACCUAAAGCUCCACGAGGCUCCGGCAGGGGAUGGUGGUGAUCCCUGCUGUACUCUUUCACCACAACUUUCUCUCACUCUUACUUCCUGUUUCUGUUGUACCUGUAUUUCAAAGGGCCGGCCUUGUCACUCUCUGUGUCACGCUGAAUAUCCCCGAGAACUACGUUCAGGGUACACGUGUCUGUGGAGUGCUCAGCCACUUACAUGUUAAUUUCACGAGCAGGCUGUUCCGUUGAUUCGGAUCAACCGGAACAGACGGAGUGCUUCCUAGAAUCAAUUACAAAGGAGUAUAAUUUAGUGUCCACAUCAGUAACAAUCCAGAAACAUCCGGGCAAUAACAUUAUCUCAUGAAGAGUAUAUAAAAAAAACAUAAAGUCAGGAGGUCUACAAUGGAUCUUGAGUGAAUCAAUCUCAUUUUGCCCAUUGUCGUCGGCCUUCCAUACAUUACAGAUAUUUAAAGAGGAAAUUUUGUGUUUAUGUUGAGAGUUGGAUUGUUGGAGUGACAAUGAUGUUCCGGUGAUCCAACAAACUGGGUUUUACUUUAUUUGCGUUGAUUUGUGAAUAUAUAAUUGCAUUGUAUACCGCUGGGAAUGUAUAUAUAUUAAUGCAAAGAUAUGCGCAUAAUUACUUCCAUACUGAAAUUGACAAUUCAUGAAAGGAGCCCGUCGUGUCUAUAUAUAUAUAUAUAUAUAUAUAUAUAUAUAUAUAUAUACAUACAUACAUACAUACAUACAUUAUAUAUAUAUAUAUAUAUAUAUAUAUAUAUAUAUAUAUAUAUAUAUAUAUAUAUAUAUAUAUAUAUAUAUAUAUAUAUAUGUAUAUAUAUGUAUAUAUAUAUAUAUAUAUAUAUAUAUAUAUAUAUAUAUAUAUAUACAUACAUACAUACAUACAUAUAUAUAUAUAUACAUACAUACGUACAUAUAUAUAUGUAUAUAUAUAUAUAUAUAUAUAUAUAUAUAUAUAUAUAUAUGCAUCUAUGUGUGGGGGGUGCGUGCGUGUGUGUGUGUGUCUUGGUAUUUGUGUUUGUCGUAUAUAUACGACGGGUUCCUUGGUAUUUGUGUUUGUCGCCCAACAUCAAUUGACAACCAGUGUCGAUUUGUUUGCGUCUCCGCAGUUCAGCGGUUCGGAAAAUGGACAGCGAUAGAAUAAAUACCAUUUUUUAAAACGAUUAAGUUCUGGUGUUGAUUCCUUCGACUAGAAAUUCAUCAGGGCGUUGCGCCAGCAUAACUGCCAUCUAGUGAAACAAGUAAAAUAUGUGUGUAUGUGUGUGUGUAUUUGUGUGCAUGUGUGUUUGUAGAAUAACACAAACACACACGCAAAUAUUAAAAAUGAUACACUCAAAAGAUUCCCAAGAAUUCAUUUCAAAACAGUCCCAGUCACUGCUACAAUCCAUAACGAUCCACUUUUAGGUCACUUUUGACCAUUUACCAUCCUACUACUAUCAUACCAGCUGCAUUCCUUUCUUGUGCUCCCUUCUCUUUCUUCUUCUUCUUCUUCUUCUUCUUCUUCUUCUUCUUCUUCUUCUUCUUCUUCUUCUUCUUCUUCUUCUUCUUCUUCUUCUUCUUCUUCUUCUUCCUCUCCUCCACCUCCUUCCUAACUUUACCGCUAUUGCUGCUUAGAAUAACACCUACGGAAAUUUUAUAAACAAUACCUUCAAAAGAGAUGUCUCAAGAAUUCAAUCACUACUACCAUCCAAAACAAGUCACUUUCAGGGCACUUGACCAUUUAACUUCCUACUACUAUCAUGGCACUCCCGCAUUCCCCUUCUUCUCCUCCUCCUUCUUCUUCUUUCCCUUCUCCUCCUCCUCUUCCGCCUCCUCCGCCUCCUCCUCCUUCUUUUCCUUCUUCUUCUUCUUUGCCUUCUUCUUCUUCUUCUUCUUCUUCUUCUUCUUCUUCUUCUUCUUCUUCUUCUUCUUCUUCUUCUUCGUCCCCACCAAGAAUUCACAACGACCUCGAACCCACAAGACUAAACAAGAGACACAGAGACAGACAGAAACAAGGAAAAUGUUCCCUUGUAUUUGAAUACUAUGAUUGAUUGAUUGAUUGAUUCUAGUUUCAGCUUAUGAGCUGUGGCCAUGCUGGGGCACCGCCAUUUGGUGUUGCUACUUGGUUUCACUUCAUGGAGGCUUUCUAGCAACUGCUAUUUGGUGUAUGAGAGAGUUCGAUGCAGCUGCCCUCAUCUGCCCCUCCUGCCGUGAAGUUGAUUCAUCUGGGACAUCUGACAGGAAGAGAUCCAGCUCCAUUUUAAAGACAUCUGUAUCCACCCCAUGCAGGUCUCUCAGGUUCUUCGGGAGGAUAUUGAAGAGCUGUGGGCCUCGGAAGCCCAGGCUAUCACAGAAUCUUGUCCUACAUCUUGAUGGCAAGUUUGGGGUCCUAGGCACCACGCAGUGGCGCCCAGUUCUGGCAUUUGCGUUACUCUCGAUGCCAAAGUUCAGGACAUUUCCCUCCAGGAUCUUCCAGAUGUAUAUUAUGGCAUAUCUUUCCCGCCUACGCUCCAGGGAAUAUAAUUUUAAUCUCUUGAGUCUUUCCCAGUAGCUUACAUUCUGCAUAGAGGCUAUCUUCUUCGUGUAGCUUCGUUGGAUCGCCUCAAGUUCUGUGAUCAACUUGACACUGGAUGGUGACCAUAGCUGAGAGCAAUAGUCAAAGUGGCUUAGGACAAGUGUCUUCCAGAGGACCAUCAUGGUUUCUUGUUCUCUUGUUCGAAAGGUUCUAAUAAUCCAUCCAGCCAGCCGUCUGCAUUUCAUUGUCAGUUUAGCAACAUGUACAUGAAAGGUCGCGUCAUCACUCAUGUGAAUACCCAGGUCACGCACUGAUUGUGCCUCUGGGAUUGCAAUCCCUCCGGGUCCAGUGUAUUCCUUGGGUAUUGCAUUCAGUUUUGCAUGCUGAUAGUAUAAAGCUUGAAACUUUUCAGCAUUGAACUGCAUGCUAUUCUUUUCAGCCCACUUGUAUAUUUCGUCCAGCUCAUAUUGCAGGUGCCUAGUGUCUUCAGGGUUCUGUAUUGCCUGUGAAACUUUUGUAUCAUCUGCAUAACUUGUGAUCGUGGCUCUCCGCGUGGCUGAGGGCAUGUCUGAGAGGGCCAUUAUGAACAGUAGUGGUCCCAAAACAGUGCCCUGUGGAACACCGCUCACUAUUUGCGUGCUAAUGGAAGUGGCCCCAUUGGCUACUACCACCUGACUUCUAUUCUUCAGAAAGUCGUGAAGCCAUUCUCCUAGUUUUCCAACUAUGCCAAGGUCACGCAGUUUGUGACAUAUCAUUCCAUGAUCGACUUUAUCGAAGGCCUUUGCGAAGUCGAGAUAUAUGACUUCCACAUUUGAGUGGUUGAGCAGUUGUUUCAGCACCCAGUCAUAGUGCUGCAGGAGCUGAGUUAAGCAGCUUCUUCCUGGUCGGAAACCAUGUUGGGUGUCAGGCAGCAAGUUAUUUUCUUCAAGGAAGGUGAUUAGUUUCCUUCUGACUAUUCGUUCCAUGACCUUGCUGAUGUGUGAGGUCAGAGAGUUAGGUCUGUAGUUCUUGGCCUCCGCUCUGCUACCUCCUUUAUGAAUAGGGCAUAUUUUACCUUCCUUCAGUUUUCUUGGAAGUUUGCCAGCUGCAAGGAAGCUCUGAAAGAG
rnacentral:lncRNA from 1 species